UAAUGGUACAGGUGAUACGAUUUUUAAUUUCUCGGAAGAAUUCCACUUGAGUCGAUUUUCCACUGACAAUGCCCUUGAAGUAAACAAUAAAUAAGAUUACUGUGCUUCGCAGCUCGAUUUCAAACAUAAGGCGCCGCGCAGUCCGCGUUUCGUUAUCAUAAUCUACAAACUACGUUGCAUCGACUAAGUACCUCGUUUUGAAAUUAUGUACUAUUAAGCUUCUAACAAUUUGUCCUGAUAUUUUAACUCUACAUAUCGUUGCCAAUUUUAACGCAACUGCCAAAGGACUACACGAACCAAACGAAAGAUUGCAUUUCCACCAACAAAUUAGUUGGAUUCCAUGAUCAUUAUAAAUAAUUUGUACACAAAUGAUACAAAGACGAUGGUACGUUAUAAAUUUUACGUCUGACUUUGGAACGUACAAGAAAAUAGGCCAAAGAUCGUUUUUAAACGUCUAUAUAAUCAGCGUAAAUGUUGCACGUGGAAGACGCUCGCGGGAACGUAAGUGAAGCCACGAGCGCGUGAAGAAUUAUCAGAAUUCUAACUAAUUUGUAUAUCUACCUAUUAAGUGGAAGCGGAUUUUUCCGGCGUAUACAUGGACGAACGAGUGUAAAUAUGACUUGGUAUUGAAACUGAGGAUCAGAGAAUUUUUGCAGAAAAAUGAUCGAUUUUUCAACUGUUGUAAAUUAUUAUUAAUGAACGUUAUUGCGAUAAUUAACACUCGUGAACAAUGAAUUUUAUCUUUCCUUG